rnacentral:ncRNA from 12 species
CAAGGACCCGGUGAGAUUCCGGGUGGCUAUCCCGGCCGCCAAUCCGCCGGGGAAAC